rnacentral:rRNA from 1 species
GACGUAGGGCGCGAGCGUUGUCCGGAUUUAUUGGGCGUAAAGAGCUCGUAGGCGGCUUGUCGCGUCGACCGUGAAAACUCGCAGCUCAACUGCGAGCCUGCGGUCGAUACGGGCAGGCUAGAGUUCGGUAGGGGAGACUGGAAUUCCUGGUGUAGCGGUGAAAUGCGCAGAUAUCGGGAGGAACACCGAUGGCGAAGGCAGGUCUCUGGGCCGAUACUGACGCUGAGGAGCGAAAGCGUGGGGAGCGAACAGG